GCCGCCGUGGCUUAGCUGGNAGAGCGGGUGACUUGUAAUCACCAGGUCGCGGGUUCAAAUCCCGCCGGCGGCU
rnacentral:tRNA from 1 species